rnacentral:sRNA from 1 species
AAAAAAACCCGCUUUCGCGGGUUG